CUUGUUUACGUACUCUGGCACUUUGAGCCGAGACCUGUCGGAGAAGACGACUUUAUGGAAAUAUGGGUGAAGAAUCCAGGUGUUUGCCAACUGGAUGGUCAACCAUGGAGUUCAGCUCCAGGACAGCCCUCUGCCUCGCCGCGGCAGUAUUGUCAAUUUCCUGACUGCGAGAAGACAUACAACCCAUAUAACUUAUUUUUCAACAGCAACAUCUUUUGAGAGAGUCCACGGCUGAACCAUAUUUAACCUUUCGGUGUCAGACCACCCGCCAGUGGCUGGGCCUCUGGCGUCCCAUUCACCGUCCCAGAGGCACCAACAAGCUAGCCGAAUAUGAUAUAGAGCUGGACCGGAGGAACCGGGCGCUUUAUUCUCCUCGAAACCCAAACAUCUCUGGAAGAGUUGUUGUUGGCCGCAUCACAAAGACUCCGUGGGCAACAAAUGCCGCAGCAGCAUAAAUUACCUUCAGUUUGAGCUGACACCUGAAGGCUCGGUGCCGCCCGGAGGCGCUGGAGAAUACGGCGCAAGAUGGACCGGUGUCACUGGGGCAGAGGUUUGCGGUGGACCAGCGGAUCCCUUCGGUCAUUAAUCAUCGGACUGGACAGCCACAGACAAGCUUCUCUGGACUGGACAGUGUGAGCAGAAUGGACACCUCCGCGCUGACGCCGCUAACGCUACCAGGCUCUGCAUAAAGCGGCAGCCUGCAGGCACAAUGCUGGAAACCCCGAGGCCCCGGGCCCCUUUGAAGCCCACUGAGAUCAAAAAGCGACACUCAAUGAAUCCCAGACUAGGUUUCAUCUCCAACAAUUUGCUACUUUUAACACCCAACAGUCCAGUCUCCCUCCGUCCCUCCCCGCCCGCCCACAAUGUGAGUUUCCAUCUUCCAUCCUCCGUCGAUGGUGGGGAUAUAAAAAGCUUCAGGUGAUCCUUCCAAGCUCGGAGCCUCUGGAGAACUUGUGUUUAACUGCUCGCAUUCGUUCCAGCAGCUGUUGCCAGCUCCCUCCUCCUACUCAGACCCUCUGCUAACCAGCUGCCUUGCAGAGUCCAGUAAAGCACAGCGAGGAACUGCCAGCUUGUGUCAUCUGCCUUUGCCUCCUACAGUACUGUAAAUACGAGGAUAACUGUAUAAUUAGACGGUUAACUAGUGGAAUAUGGUGUUUUCCUUGUUAAAACGCGUGUGCUUUGGGACGACGCCCAUGUCUGUUGCUAAGCUUGAAUGUGCUGGUGUGUGUGAGCAUGUGCGCUCCUGCGUGCCUGCUUGCGUGUGUGUGUGUCUGCAAUCACACCGAUUGCAUCCGCCGGUCCUCUUACAUGUAGAGUAUACAUAUCAGCGGCUGGACAGAUGGUCGCUGAUCAGCAGAGACCUGAACUCGGCGGCCCUGAUUGGCGGCACAAACCUGGCGGAUAUCUCGAGGGCUGCGCGGCCCAGCUUUGGUCGGGGGUCAACACAUGUCUGUGCUGGCACAAGCGCCCAGUGAACAGAUGUGUUUUUCAAAUCGGGAGACAGACAGCAGCUCCGAUAUGUCCUUCGCUUUCUUGUUAAGACGGCAAAGCUGCAUUCAACAAGUAAAAACCGAAACAAACAUUCCCAGUUUCCUGUAGGAGAACACAC